rnacentral:lncRNA from 1 species
UCACAUAUCGAAGGCAAAUUCCAACUUUUGAUUCAUAACCGCUGGUUCGUACUCUGUAACUCCCAUAUCCUUCAAGGUUUGUGCCAUUACCGGCAUCUCUCGGAGCGUUGGGAGGCGCCACCUUGCCCGACUGCAUGUUAUCCUGCCACUAAUCUGCUUUUUAAAUACAAUUUAUCUGCACGAGCAGUAAAUACAUUGCAUUUGAUCGUGGGACAUAUUCAUCCCUCAGCGGUUGCCCCGGGGCUUGCAGUAUCCCCGCCUUACCCUCCGAUCUCCUUAGGGUCACCAGAGCCACACGGGAUCCGGUGGGCCCUGGGAGCUGUCACCCAAGGCACAGCUGCCCCGCCAGGCCGCCCCGACGCCACGCCGGCCUUUGCCAUCAGCGGUCCUGCUGAGGGAUCGGGGGGAGCAGAAGAGCGUCAGCCCCCCUGGGAGCCGCGAUUCCCCUUUCCCUCCCCGCGUGGGGGUGAGAGGGGCGGAUGGGCUUCACCGUGGCCUUGCUCCCCAAGGCCACCCCCUGGGCCCGGGCUGCCCUCCGCAGACCUCGCCGCCCGGAGGCCAGGCCGUGGCGGUCCUGUCGCCUCCUGUGUCCCCCCGCUGGCCUCUGCCUGUGUAGGCCGAGGCGUUGGCCACAUCCCGGCCUUUCAGCCCGUAGCUCUUGGGUGGUUUUCCCCGCACGGGUGUCUUCGUCUGCCCGGUCGCCUGGCCUGUUGCACGGCCCUGCAGCUGCCCUGGUCCUUCCGGACCCACGGCCUCCUGCCCGCCCGCUGUCCCGCGCCACGCGUGCACUUCCCUCCCCUUGACGGCGGCGGCUGCUGCUCCAACUGGGCCGUCCCAAGCUCUGCCACUUGUCCAGCGCUUGCCCUGGCACGUGCUCUGCCGUGGACACCAUCCCCGGGCAGGGCCCCGCGACCCCCACGGCCUCACGUUCCCAUCCCUGCGGUUCACGGUGGGACACCAGUCCUGUGCCCGCCCAGAGACACGGGCCUGGUACCUGUGCUGUGCUGGCCCAGGCCCAGCUGCCGUGCCAGCCGCGGUGGGCCGCCUGGGGCCCCGGGAGGAGAGGCCACCCCAGGUCUGCGUGUCCAGGCUUACCCAGCGGGCCGUGGGCUGCGCACGCUGUCACGCCGAUGCGUGGGAGGACCCCUGCGCGGCCGCCCCUCGGCACGCUGCAGCAGCGACGCGCCAGCUCCCUCCAGCUGGCCAGCCCGCCGCGCCAGGCCCCGUCCCCGUCCCCGGCCCGCUAGCCAAGCCGUGCUAGGCGCUCGCAUUUUCAUGUACCCUCGAGAGAAUGAUUAA